CCAUGGAGUGCCUAGGUUAGGGUCAGGAAGAGAGAGAAAACAUAUAUACAGAUGGUGUUAGCAGGUGUUUGUGUAUCUCCAUGGUUUUAGCCAUCCUUGGUAAUUGAUGCUAGGAGAGGAUGCAUCCUCCAUGGAUAUAGGGACGAUACUGCUGUCUAGGAUGUCUGACUAUGGAUGAUCAGACCAAUGUGAGCUCGGAAGGCUUUACCACAAAUAAUUUGUAUAAACUUUUGGAGGUGAGAUCUCUCUAAAUUUGCACAUCUUGCUUUUCUUCCAAGCUAAUAUAAUUCUACUUUGCUCAUAGAAAACAGAAUCAUGAGAGGCAAUUUGUCAUAAUGGUUGUCAUUGGUCUCCAUCAGGAAACCAUGGGUUCAUAACCCAUCUCCCACACAUACUCACUUCAUGACCCUGGGCAAGUAGUCACUCUCAGUGUCUCCAGGUAACUCUCUAGACUCAGCUGUAGAUCAGGUGUUAAUAGAGGAAAGCUUCCCUGUGAGAGCCUGCACCUGAGCUAUCCUAUUUAGUCUACUCCAUCCUCCUCCAUUCAUUUGCAUUUGCAUGUAUUAUAAUACAAAGUGUAAAGUCAUAUUUUGUUAAAAUAAAAAAUUUAAAAGUGACUGAGUGGCUCUCACUUCAUCAUAAACUUUGACUUGUAAGACUGAUUCAGUUUUCUCUGGUCCCUAUUUGACAAAAACUGAGUUCAUUGAUAAAGCACCUGUCUGAAAAGUCUUCCUCAUAAUGUGGAGCCAAUGGGAUGAUAAUAUCUUUUCACAGAUAUGGGCAUAAGAUCUGCUAUAAAAUUAAAUUUUAAAGUUUGACAUCUAGUCUGAGCUUUAUAUUUCAUAGAACUUGGAAACUGGAAUUGGGGAAGUAGUGGGAGUGCUAGGGAGAGAAAUGAUAGGAUGCUCAUGUUCUGAGAGAGGAAAUGCAACUGAUUUCUUUAUAUAAGCCCCACCUUUGGGCUGUGGAGAACUCAUAGGAUCUGUGUUCCAGCUGUUAGUGCUUAUACCAGUGAGAUCAACUUCAGGCCUGAAGCCAGAGGACCCCACCCAGCCCCCAGGCCUGGAGGGAACGCUCCCUAAUUGGAGCAUUCAAAGGCUAAAGUCUUCUGAAGUUCUGAGUCCAUUCUCCUCGGACCAAAGACAAUUCCUCCAAAAAAAAAAAUCCAAGAAUUUGGCUUUAGAUUUCCUCCUGGUUGUAGCAUCUUCUCCCUGGAGUCUCAGGGAUCCAAUCAUUAUGACAAAGAAUAAAAAAGGAGAAGGCAAAACAGUUCAAGAAAACUGGAAAACAUAUUUUUUAAAAUCUGAUAUAUGAAAUUUUCCAAAAUCAUAGUCACUUCACCUCAACAAGGAAGCAAGGGGAUGCAUCUUUUCUUAUCUUUUGGGGCCUUGGUUAGUUAUAAUGAUUUUGUAGCAUUUACUUUUGUUUUUUUGUUCUGUUUACUUGUAUUCUAUUGUGUUUGUCGUGCAACACAAAUAUUGUUAAGGUAACAUUUUCUUGUUUCAACUUAUUUCUUUUUGCCUCUGCAUUUGCCAUAUUCAUCAUUUCUUAAAGUAGAGUAAUAUUCCAUUACUUUUAUGUCAUAGUUUGGCUAGCCAUGGCCCCAAUUAAUGAACAUCUACUUUGUCUCCAAUUCUUUGCUAUAAUACAUGUUACCAAUGAUGAUUUGUGUGUAAGAAAUGAUGCAGAAGAUGUCAAUAAACACAUGAAUGGCUAGCA
ensembl:lncRNA